rnacentral:miRNA from 1 species
CUGGGGGGAGGAGACCCUGCU